rnacentral:misc_RNA from 1 species
AACUUUUGGCAACGGAUCUCUUGGCUCUCGCAUCGAAGAAGAACGCAGCGAAAUGCGAAACGUAAUGUGAAUUGCAGAAUUCAGUGAAUCAUCGAAUCUUUGAACGCACCUUGCGCUCCUUGGUAUUCCUAGGAGCAUGCCUGUUUGAGUGUCAUUAAAUUCUCAACUUUAUUAGCUUUUGCUGAUAAUGGCUUGGAUUUGGGGGUCUUUUGCUGGCUUUCACGAGUUAGCUCCCCUUAAAUAUAUUAGCUGGUGCCCUCUGGUUAACCAUCUAUUGGUGUGAUAAUUAUCUACGCCGUGGAUGUUAGCCGCUUUGUGGGUGCACUGCUCCUAACCGUCUGUUUAUUCGGACAAUAUUUAUGACAUUUUGACCUCAAAUCAGGUAGGACUACCCGCUGAACUUAAGCAUAUCAAUAAGCGGAGGCU